rnacentral:ncRNA from 2 species
CAUACCCUUCGGGGCGGGGUGAAACUCCCCACCGGCGGUACAGCCCGCGAGCGCGCCGAACGCGUUGCCGGGCGAUUGCCCUGAGCGAUGAGUAGUGCACCCGGGGCAUGUCGAAGGUUCGCAGGCGCGUUGAUCCGGUGAGAUCCCGGAGCCGACAGUGAAAGUCUGGAUGGGAGAAGGGUACU